UAUGAUGAUGCGGUAGAGGAGCGUUCUGUAAGCCUGUGAAGGUGAGUUGAGAAGCUUGCUGGAGGUAUCAGAAGUGCGAAUGCUGACAUGAGUAACGACAAUGCGAGUGAAAAACUCGCACGCCGAAAGACCAAGGUUUCCUGCGCAACGUUAAUCGACGCAGGGUUAGUCGGUCCCUAAGGCGAGGCUGAAAAGCGUAGUCGAUGGAAAACAGGUUAAUAUUCCUGUACUUCCAGUUAUUGCGAUGGAGGGACGGAGAAGGUUAGGCCAGCCUGGCGUUGGUUGUCCAGGUUUAAGGUGGUAGGCUGAAAUCUUAGGCAAAUCCGGGAUUUCAAGGCCGAGAGCUGAUGACGAGUUGCCUUUAGGCGAUGAAGUGGUUGAUACCAUGCUUCCAAGAAAAGCUCCUAAGCUUCAGAUAACUGGGAACCGUACCCCAAACCGACACAGGUGGUUAGGUAGAGAAUACCAAGGCGCUUGAGAGAACUCGGGUGAAGGAACUAGGCAAAAUGGCACCGUAACUUCGGGAGAAGGUGCGCCGGCGAAGGUGAAGGGCUUGCCCCGUAAGCUUUUGCUGGUCGAAGAUACCAGGCCGCUGCGACUGUUUAUUAAAAACACAGCACUCUGCAAACACGAAAGUGGACGUAUAGGGUGUGACGCCUGCCCGGUGCCGGAAGGUUAAUUGAUGGGGUUAGCGCAAGCGAAGCUCUUGAUCGAAGCCCCGGUAAACGGCGGCCGUAACUAUAACGGUCCUAAGGUAGCGAAAUUCCUUGUCGGGUAAGUUCCGACCUGCACGAAUGGCGUAACGAUGGCGGCGCUGUCUCCACCCGAGACUCAGUGAAAUUGAAAUCGCUGUGAAGAUGCAGUGUAUCCGCGGCUAGACGGAAAGACCCCGUGAACCUUUACUAUAGCUUUGCACUGGACUUUGAAUUUGCUUGUGUAGGAUAGGUGGGAGGCUUUGAAGUGGGGACGCCAGUUCUCAUGGAGCCAUCCUUGAAAUACCACCCUGGCAACUUUGAGGUUCUAACUCAGGUCCGUUAUCCGGAUCGAGGACAGUGUAUGGUGGGUAGUUUGACUGGGGCGGUCUCCUCCCAAAGAGUAACGGAGGAGUACGAAGGUGCGCUCAGACCGGUCGGAAAUCGGUCGUAGAGUAUAAAGGCAAAAGCGCGCUUGACUGCGAGACACACACGUCGAGCAGGUACGAAAGUAGGUCUUAGUGAUCCGGUGGUUCUGUAUGGAAGGGCCAUCGCUCAACGGAUAAAAGGUACUCCGGGGAUAACAGGCUGAUACCGCCCAAGAGUUCAUAUCGACGGCGGUGUUUGGCACCUCGAUGUCGGCUCAUCACAUCCUGGGGCUGAAGCCGGUCCCAAGGGUAUGGCUGUUCGCCAUUUAAAGUGGUACGCGAGCUGGGUUUAGAACGUCGUGAGACAGUUCGGUCCCUAUCUGCCGUGGACGUUUGAGAUUUGAGAGGGGCUGCUCCUAGUACGAGAGGACCGGAGUGGACGAACCUCUGGUGUUCCGGUUGUCACGCCAGUGGCAUUGCCGGGUAGCUAUGUUCGGAAGAGAUAACCGCUGAAAGCAUCUAAGCGGGAAACUUGCCUCAAGAUGAGAUCUCACUGGGAUCUUGAAUCCCCUAAAGGGCCGUCGAAGACUACGACGUUGAUAGGUUGGGUGUGUAAGCGCUGUGAGGCGUUGAGCUAACCAAUACUAAUUGCCCGUGAGGCUUGACCAU
rnacentral:rRNA from 1 species